CAUUAUGAUCUCAGAUCCUGUCUUGGCUUCAGUUGCAUUGCGGGUCUCAAGAGAACGCCCACACCAGGCCAGGCCAGGCCAGAGGAGCACCGGUUGAAGUUCAGACCGGCUCUGGUCAAGUUCAGGCUGGUUCUGCUCAAAAAAAGACCUUCCCUUCCACGGAGGCUGAUUAAAACUGUCUUGCAGAGGACGCGGGCCAAGAAUUCAGGGGGUGGGGUGGGGGUGGGGGCAGGACAGAAACGUUCUUUAACUCCAUGUUCCUUUUUUGGGCUGUUUCCCAGCACAGCACCCUGAACGGCAUAGAUGCGUUUAACUGAACAGCAGUAGCUCUGUGAACUUAACAAAGAACAUUGAGCAGUCAGGAUCGUUGCAUUGCUACAUUGGCGCUCCUUUUUGUUAAUGCUUGUGAUCCCAUCGUAAUCUUAUGGAGGACUUUCCUGUGUCUUUGGCUCUCCGAAUAACCUUGUGAAGGCGAUAGAGCAGAGUGACUCCUUGACCAAAUAACUUUGAAUCGAUUGUAACUUUUCACCCUUGCAACUAAGUCCGUUAAUCACAAAAUGGUAAAUCAGAAGGUAGGCACUCUUAGCGGCAAAUUAUGAUUCAUCCGUGCUCCUGUGACGGGUAAUGUUAUUUUAUAACUGAGCUAAACUAAAGAAGUUAAGCUUUAUUUAGUCAAUCACUUUAAUGAACAUGAAAAUGGGAACUCUGGAAGUUCUAUGUCUUGAAUUGAAUCUUUUACUUCUGAAGAUUUCAGGCAAUAGCAACUGUCUCGACAGCAAAUGUUUGUAAGGAUGAUUCACUUUUCCUUUCUAUCUCAAGGAUCUUUCUGUGUUUUAAUUGCUGUUUUCCAUGCCUUUACUUUUGUUACACCUCAAUUGUAAUGAGACAAUUUUGAAAGGCUGCAGAGAAAAGAGGCAACUCGGUCAUCCUCUCGA